UACGGAGGGUGCAAGCGUUAUCCGGAUUCACUGGGUUUAAAGGGUGCGUAGGUGGGCUAGUAAGUCAGUGGUGAAAUCUCCGAGCUUAACUUGGAAACUGCCGUUGAUACUAUCUGUCUUGAAUAUUGUGGAGGUGAGCGGAAUAUGUCAUGUAGCGGUGAAAUGCUUAGAUAUGACAUAGAACACCAAUUGCGAAGGCAGCUCGCUACACAUAUAUUGACUCUGAGGCACGAAAGCGUGGGGAUCAAACAGG
rnacentral:rRNA from 1 species